rnacentral:rRNA from 1 species
CCUACGGGUGGCAGCAGUGGGGAAUAUUGGACAAUGGGCGAAAGCCUGAUCCAGCCAUGCCGCGUGUGUGAAGAAGGCCUUCGGGUUGUAAAGCACUUUCAGUGGGGAAGAAAGCCUUGGGGCUAAUACCCUCGAGGAAGGACAUCACCCACAGAAGAAGCACCGGCUAACUCCGUGCCAGCAGCCGCGGUAAUACGGAGGGUGCGAGCGUUAAUCGGAAUUACUGGGCGUAAAGCGCGCGUAGGCGGUCUGAUAAGCCGGUUGUGAAAGCCCCGGGCUCAACCUGGGAACGGCAUCCGGAACUGUCAGGCUAGAGUGCAGGAGAGAAAGGUAGAAUUCCCGGUGUAGCGGUGAAAUGCGUAGAGAUCGGGAGGAAUACCAGUGGCGAAGGCGGCCUUCUGGACUGACACUGACGCUGAGGUGCGAAAGCGUGGGUAGCAAACAGGAUUAGAUACCCGAGUAGUC